rnacentral:rRNA from 1 species
AACGAACGCUGGCGGCAUGCCUAACACAUGCAAGUCGAACGAAGGCUUCGGCCUUAGUGGCGCACGGGUGCGUAACACGUGGGAAUCUGCCCUUUGCUUCGGAAUAACAGUUAGAAAUGACUGCUAAUACCGGAUAAUGUCGCAAGACCAAAGAUUUAUCGGCAAAGGAUGAGCCCGCGUAAGAUUAGGUAGUUGGUGGGGUAAUGGCCUACCAAGCCGACGAUCUUUAGCUGGUCUGAGAGGAUGAUCAGCCACACUGGGACUGAGACACGGCCCAGACUCCUACGGGAGGCAGCAGUGGGGAAUAUUGGACAAUGGGCGAAAGCCUGAUCCAGCAAUGCCGCGUGUGUGAUGAAGGCCUUAGGGUUGUAAAGCUCUUUUACCCGGGAUGAUAAUGACAGUACCGGGAGAAUAAGCUCCGGCUAACUCCGUGCCAGCCGCCGCGGUAAGAC